rnacentral:rRNA from 1 species
GACGUAGGGCGCGAGCGUUGUCCGGAUUUAUUGGGCGUAAAGAGCUCGUAGGCGGCUUGUCGCGUCGUCUGUGAAAUCCCGCGGCUCAACCGCGGGUCUGCAGUCGAUACGGGCAGGCUAGAGUUCGGUAGGGGAGACUGGAAUUCCUGGUGUAGCGGUGAAAUGCGUAGAUAUCAGGAGGAACACCGGUGGCGAAGGCGGGUCUCUGGGCAACAACUGACGCUGAGGAGCGAAAGCGUGGGGAGCGAACAGG